AAAACUCUGCUCAGCCUUUGUUCGGGCUCUCAGCACGGAUCCACUGCACUGGUGAAAUCUGGGAGCCCGAGUUUAAGCCCAAAUAAACGUCCUUUGCUUUUGUAUACGUGACUCAGUAUCCCCAGUGGUCUCUGGUCUCUGGGGAUAUUGCGAUCUGGGCAUAACAGUUGGUCACUGGCCGGGAAUCCUCCUCCCCAGAGCCCCUGGGACUCUGACACGUUGGGCCUAAUCGCCGGCUGGUCCGCCUCCAGAGCCUCAUCGGUACCAGCCUGGCGACUGGGUUUAUGUCAAACACCAUCGGCAGGAAACCCUUGAGCCGCAGCGGAAAGGACCCUACAUCAUCCCGUUGACCACUCCCACUGCCUUAAACGUGGACGGAACAGCCGCCUGGAUCCAUUACACCCACGUGAGACCAGCCGGCCCCUCCAAGUCCCGGAAGACUACACCGACCCGGAAGCACAACGAUGGAAGCUACACCCAGACAGGAAACACCUGCUCCGGCUGCACUUCACCCGGCGAACAUGAAACUGAUCACUAUGACAAUACUGCUGACCGUAUGUUGUGCCCCCCCAGUUUCCCCAGCCCCCCAAAACCCUCACCAGCCCUUUAAUCUAACCUGGGUCAUUGUGAGCACCUCCACAGGAAAUACCCUAGCACAAAAAUCCUCCGUAGCCCCCAAGAACACCUGGUUCCCAAACCUCACCCUCGACCUACAAGACUUAGAGCUCGGUACGGCCACGAGCUCCCGCCGGAAGGAAGAAUGGUUUUACGUUUGUCCGGGGCAUAAGAACAGUAACAGGGCCUGGAGACAGAUGUGCGGGGGGGCUGAUCACUAUUUCUGCGCAGCUUGGGCAUGUGUCAGCACCGGGGACAUCUGGUGGUCUGCACCUGUUACGGAUGACUUAAUCACCAUCCGCAGGGCAGACUCAAGGCCUGGAAAUUACUGGAGGGCAGAUUCAAGUUGGUACAAAAAUUGCACCCAUAACCAAAGAUGCAACCCAAUAGUUAUUACCUUUACAGAGAAGGGAAAAUCUGACGGCCAGUGGGAAGCUGGCAAGUCAUGGGGACUACGUAUGUAUACUUCAUGGCAUGGGGGCCUCCCAGCAGCCCUUUUUACUAUACGGCUCAUCGUUCAACCAGUUACAAUGGGACCGUCCAAAUCCCUGGGUCCAAACCUGGUCAUAGCUCCCCAGGCACCUGAGCCACAGUUUUGAGAACUCUAACAGGAAAAGCAGAGGAAGGCGUAAUGAGACAGAACCGUGAACCCACAUCUCUUAUGCUGGCAAUCAUAUCGGGGGCAGGGGGCGGGGGGAGGUUGGCCUAGCUGGGGCAGGCACAGGACAGCGGCCUUGACGUUACAGGAAAAGAACUACCGUAAUCUAAAGGCCGACAGAGCUGAGGACAUACAGCGGUUAGAAAACUCCACCUCCCACCUGGAAAACGAUGUUGAUUCCUUAGCCGGUGGUGUCACAGAACGAAGAGGCCUAGAUUUAGUUUCCAUGCAACGAGGAGGGCUUUGAGCCGCCCUACAUGAAGAAGGCUGUUUUUAUGUUAACCGUUGUGGGGUCAUCAGGGAGUCCCUUGCCAAGGUACGAGGGAAUCUAGACAGACGUCGCAAAGGAAGGGAACAGUCCAAGGGAUGGUUCCAAUCUUGGCCUGAUGCUUCCCCCUGGCUAACGACUGGUAGGGCCCCUUGUAGUCCUACCGUUGGUCUUCACGUCUGGCCCCUGUAUUCUUAACAAACGAAUCCGAUAUAUAAAACAAAGAUUAGGUACAAUUCAGCUAAUGGCCAUAAGAGCCAAAUCUCAGCCUUUACACCAGACCGACAGUGACACGGCUGACCAGGACCAGGUCAGGGUCAGGACAGAGCGGGAAUGAGAGGACACAGGUCUGAACCAAACUGACCCACUACCUCACUAUCUAGACAGUUCACAGGCAAACAUGAUCCUCGAACAAACUUGGUGUUGAUUUUUAUGUUCCUUGGCUAACGAAAGCACGCACCUAUAAAUGAUGCUUUUACAUCAAAUUAGCUACUUUUCUCCCCAUUUUUUCACCGUGACUAGAAUUAUUGAAAUUUUGUUUCUCCCUUCCUCCCUGUGCAAUGGAGGGAGACGUAUGUUAGCACAAAGAAGAAAGAAGCAAAGGGCCCUGAACCGGCCAGUAUUUCCCGUGGGACCGGGAAGGGCCCUGGGGACAGAGGCGGACACUGGGAGGACCAGCUGGACCCUCAUGCUGACCAGCGACGCCCUGAGAAGCUCACGUGAAACCAGCGGGACCCUGUCUCCCCUUGCUGUGCACGGUCCCUGCCCCAAAAUAUCCGAAAGCACUGUGGACGCGACCGCCCUGCGGUGGCAGAAACGCCUCGAAGGCCUGCUGACCCCGGAGACCAGCCUGCCCUCGCCCUGGGACGCGCUUCCCUAGACAUCCUGGAAACUCCUGCCUCAUUUCUCUUCCUUUUACUUCCUCUCCCAAAUGUACCACGAAAUAAAUGCUUGAACAAUUCUUAGAGAACAAAAGGUGUGCUGUUUUGAAAUCCAAAUUCUGACACAAUAAAGAAAAGGAUCUUUAAAGAAAAAUAACUGAGGACGUUGGAGAUCCUGAAGGCCGACUCCGAGUGCGGUGGGGCUGGCGCGGCCGGAAAGGGACAGGCGGGGAGAGGCCCCUGCUCAUGCAGAGAAGGAACCAACGCCAAGACAGAUGUGACGGCACGAACGUCACCAGCCGGCGCACGGUGACGCUUCAUCCCUGUUGUCCUGCCGUCAUUAUCAAUAAUGCCCCCGUUAGCUGUCAAGUGUGACAAGUUGGAUAAAGAAAAUGAUACUGUCACUAAAUAUUCUGCAUUAUUCUUAGAGGCUUUCUUGUUACCAGAGGACGAGACAGGAGACCAAAGGGGACAGCUGUGUCCCAGGACACGUGUGGCUAAAGACCGGCCACCCCAGCCUCCACCCAGCACCCACGAACCGUGCUGCUUAGCCCUCGACCGUUUCCCAGGCUCAGCCGUCUUCAUGUUCGGUCCCCUGCCGCUCAGGCCAAGCAGGGGGGCCAUGAUCGCCACGUGUCAACGGCCGGGUAGGGGACAAUAAAGAUGAAUUCAAGGAAAGCGGGCCACAGGCUGUCAGAUACACCGGAGUGUGUGACUUCGGUCAGUGCCUGCACACUCACCUUCAGGAAGCUUGGCAGGAGACCACAGGCUGGCUGUCCAGGGACCUAACAGAUGUAAGAGACACAAACACAAAUAAGGAAAAAGGGCCAGUGGGAUAAAGGGUCACUUCCUGUCCAUGAAGACUGGAGGGGGACGGGACGGGCAGGGCGGGGCUGGACCACACGGUGGCGGUAACUGGGAAGAAUUCUCUGGGGCGGAGCCCGGGGGCUUUUCCAGGGCAAUGGGCCUAGCCGGUGGGUUACCGUGCUGUUGCGUUCUGUACCUGGCAACCCCCGACGUACGCACAAGGGGGGCCUGCCGCAGACUGGACUUCGGGGAACGCUGCGGAACGCCUGGCCCGUUGGCGGGGAUGCAGGCAGCGCACGGCGCAAGGGUUACUGAGACAGAAACUUUACUACUAGGCCAACUGGACGUUCUGCUCAAUUUGUCUGAAAAACUAAAACGGUUCUUAAAAAAGAAAAAUAAAAUCUACUGAUUUAAAA